UAUUGGACAAUGGGCGAAAGCCUGAUCCAGCCAUGCCGCGUGGGUGAAGAAGGCCUUCGGGUUGUAAAGCCCUUUUGUUGGGAAAGAAAACUUUCCGGCUAAUACCCGGAGAGAAUGACGGUACCCAAAGAAUAAGCACCGGCUAACUUCGUGCCAGCAGCCGCGGAAAUACGAAGGGUGCAAGCGUUACUCGGAAUUACUGGGCGUAAAGCGUGCGUAGGUGGUUCGUUAAGUCUGAUGUGAAAGCCCUGGGCUCAACCUGGGAAUUGCAUUGGAUACUGGCGGGCUAGAGUACGGUAGAGGGUGGCGGAAUUCCUGGUGUAGCAGUGAAAUGCGUAGAGAUCAGGAGGAACACCCGUGGCGAAGGCGGCCACCUGGACCAGUACUGACACUGAGGCACGAAAGCGUGGGGAGCAAACAGG
rnacentral:rRNA from 1 species